rnacentral:rRNA from 1 species
UACAGAGGGUGCAAGCGUUAUCCGGAUUCACUGGGUUUAAAGGGUGCGUAGGUGGGUUGGUAAGUCAGUGGUGAAAUCUCCGGGCUUAACUCGGAAACUGCCGUUGAUACUAUCAAUCUUGAAUGUUGUGGAGGUAAGCGGAAUAUGUCAUGUAGCGGUGAAAUGCUUAGAUAUGACAUAGAACACCGAUAGCGAAGGCAGCUUGCUACACAAUAAUUGACACUGAGGCACGAAAGCGUGGGGAUCAAACAGGAGUUAGA